rnacentral:piRNA from 1 species
UGCCCUUGGCCACUGCCUU